rnacentral:rRNA from 1 species
GAUGAACGCUGGCGGCGUGCUUAACACAUGCAAGUCGAACGGAAAGGCCCCUGCUUGCAGGGGUACUCGAGUGGCGAACGGGUGAGUAACACGUGGGUGAUCUGCCCUGCACUUCGGGAUAAGCCUGGGAAACUGGGUCUAAUACCGGAUAGGACGAUGGUUUGGAUGCCAUUGUGGAAAGUUUUUCGGUGUGGGAUGAGCUCGCGGCCUAUCAGCUUGUUGGUGGGGUAAUGGCCUACCAAGGCGUCGACGGGUAGCCGGCCUGAGAGGGUGUACGGCCACACUGGGACUGGGAUACGGCCCAGACUCCUACCGGAGGCAGCAGUGGGGAAUAUUGCACAAUGGGCGCAAGCCUGAUGCAACGACGCCGCGUGGGGGAUGACGGCCUUCGGGUUGGAAACUCCUUUCGCUAGGGACGAAGCGUUUUGUGACGGUACCUGGAGAAGAAGCACCGGCUGACUACGUG